AGUGGAGGUCAAAGCCCUCCCCAUCCGCCCCACGCUUCUGCUGGACCCCCCAUCCGGGGUAUUAUGGGAUGGCCAAGGGGUGACGUUGACCUGUGAGGCCAAUGGGAGCGUCGCUGGGCGGAGUUUUCCUUCUAUCGCGACGGAGAGCCGCUAUUGGUCGACGGGUCGGACGGCGACAUGUCGCGAUAUCGGGUGGACAAAGGAGGGGGGAAUUUCAGCUGCAGUUACCAGGAGGAGGUGGGGGGGACGUGGGUGACGUCGCCCCACAGCGCCAGGAGGGAGGUGGUGAUGAAGGGCCGAUUUCCAUCCAUCGCUUUGGGCUGUGGGGCGGCCGGAGCCGCUGUGCUGCUGUUGGUUUCCAUCGGCCUCAUUUCUUACUGCAAACGACGCCGAGGAGGCGUUAAUUGGAAGGGAUUGGGGGAGAAGGACGAAGGCGGCGCUUUGCCCAUGGUGGGGAUGGAAGCUUGAGAGCAAAACGGCGGCGAUUUUGGGGGGAAAAAGGGGAUUUUGGGGGCAUUUCUGGGUUUUUUGGGGUUUUUAAUCAGUUUCCCCCCAAUUUUUGCCUUUUUUUGAGUGGUUUUUUGUAUAUCGAGGCCAAAAAUGCCCCAAAAAUGGCGUUUCUGACCUCAAAAUGG